GUGCCAGGCAGCGGGGGUAAUUCGGGAGGGUGCAAGGGUUAUUCGGAAUUACUGGGGGUAAAGCGCACGCAGGGCGGUUGUUAAGUCAGAUGUGAAAUCCCCGGGCUCAACCUGGGAACUGCAUCUGAUACUGGCAAGCUUGAGUCUGGUAGAGGGGGGUAGAAUUCCAGGUGUAGCGGUGAAAUGCGUAGAGAUCUGGAGGAAUACCGGUGGCGAAGGCGGCCCCCUGGACGAAGACUGACGCUCAGGUGCGAAAGCGUGGGGAGCAAACAGGAUUAGAUACCCUAGUAGUCC
rnacentral:rRNA from 1 species